GACGAACGCUGGCGGCGCACCUAAGACAUGCAAGUCGAACGAGAGCUUCGGCUCUAGUGGCGGACGGGUGAGUAACACGUAGGGGACCUGCCUCGUGGUGGGGGAUACCGCCGGGAAACCGGCGCUAAAACCGCAUGUGACCGCAGCCACAGAUGGUUGCGGGGAAAUGAGAAAUCAGCCAUGGGAGGGCCUUGCGGCGGAUUAGCUAGUUGGUGGGGUAGAGGCCUACCAAGGCGACGAUCCGUAGCUGGUCUGAGAGGACGACCAGCCACACCGG
rnacentral:rRNA from 1 species